rnacentral:rRNA from 1 species
AUUGAACGCUGGCGGCAGGCCUAACACAUGCAAGUCGAACGAGUGGCGGACGGGUGAGUAAUGUCUGGGAAACUGCCCGAUGGUGGGGGAUAACUUCUGGAAACGGUAGCUAAUACCGCAUACCAUCGGAUGUGCCCCGAUGGUUUUAGCUAGUAGGUGGGGUAACGGCUCACCUAGGCGACGAUCCCUAGCUGGUCUGAGAGGAUGACCAGCCACACUGGAACUGAGACACGUUCCAGACUCAUACGGGAGGCAGCAGUGGGGAAUAUUGCACAAUGGGCGCAAGCCGGAUGCAGCCAUGCCGCGUGUAUGAAGAAGGCCUUCGGGUUGUAAAGUACUUUCAGCGAGGAGGCGGGAGGCGAAGAAGAAGCAUCGGCUAACUCCGUGCCAGAAGCCGCGGUAAGAG